GCGCGUGGCACAAUUGGUCAGCGCGUGAGACUUUUAGAGACCUCUAAUAGUUAUCUCAAGGUUGAGAGUUCGAGCCUCUCCGCGGGCG